GAGAAACUCACAAUCUAGUUAGGGAUGGUGACAGCUGAGCCAGAGCUGUGCAGCGAGGCAGAGUACAUGCGUGUCACGAAGGAGUUACAACAGCUCAGCAGCGAGAAGGAAAAUGGAAUUCUGAUUGGUGGGAGUGCCAUGGACCAAGCUUUGUGGAGGAGAAAACUGAAGAGAAGGCUGGAGUCUUGCCUGCAGGUUGAAGCCGCUGGAAGAGGGAUGAGGAGAGCGAAGAAGCUUCCAGCCAUGUGCAGUGAACGCAGAGGGGAGGGUGCAUCAAGAGACUGCCCUGGGAAAGGCGGGGAACCAGGGGUGUGUUCCAGAGAAGAAGCCAAGUAAUUAGCAUGGCAGAAGGAGACUGCCACUGUGUUUGGCACAGCCAUGGUUGGUCCUCCAAGAACACGUUCAGUUGUGUGUGAUGCAAUGACAGAAGUAACCAUAAGGAUGCAGAUGCAGCUUUCUGAGGCCCAGCCAACAGUCACCGUGAAGCUGAGUGGCAAGGACCAGAACCCUGAAACUGGGAGCAUUUCUCCCUAUACGUUCCCCUCUCCUCCCAGCUUUCCAAACCCCCACCAUCUGACUUUGUACCUCUUUCAAAUGAAAAGGUUGCAUAUUGCUGAGCUGACAGAGGCUCCCUACCCAGACUAAUAGAGCCCGCCACACGGAAGUAAUUUCUUGUUAAACUUCUAUCCAGUGAAAUCCAACCACUGCACACAGCAGGCCCGGCUGUGCUGGUACUGCCAGCCUGCCACCGAGGCGCAAGGGAAUAAAGGAAAAUGCUUAGCAUUAAAUUUCAUGUAAAUCAGACUUUAUUUGCUCUGGUGACAGGUUAUUACCUUCUGCAGGGAACGAGGGGAGAAACGGCUGCCACUGAAGACAGAGUUCCCCCAGUGAGCUUCCGUAGCAGCCUCCUGCAGCAAGCAUGCCUAACUCACCUGCUUUGCCCCGCCCAUUCUCUCUGCUAGCUUCUCUGUAAAUGGCCAGGGUCUACAGGCUCUUCUUGGCAUAGUAGCCCUGCCUACGCAGCCUUCCUGAUGCUUCAGAGAUGGUCACUAUUUAGGUGGACUUCCCCACUAAGGACAUUGGGCACUCUUCACCUUGCUUUGUGGCUCAGUCUAUCUCCCACCAAGAACAUUCUAUAUAGCAAUAAACUCAUUCAGACUCAGCUCA
rnacentral:lncRNA from 1 species